rnacentral:rRNA from 1 species
ACAGCAGUAGCCACGGGAAUACGGAGGGGGCUAGCGUUGUUCGGAAUUACUGGGCGUAAAGCGCACGUAGGCGGCUUUGUAAGUUAGAGGUGAAAGCCCGGGGCUCAACCCCGGAAUUGCCUUUAAGACAGCAGAGCUAGCAGGUGAGAGAGGUGAGUGGAAUUCCGAGUGUAGAGGUGAAAUUCGUAGAUAUUCGGAAGAACACCAGUGGCGAAGGCGGCUCACUGGUCCAUUACUGACGCUGAGGUGCGAAAGCGUGGGGAGCAAACAGGAUUAGAUACCCCCGUAGUCCCUGUCUCUUAUAC